GUUAAGUUAGAAAGGGCGCACGGUGAAUGCCUUGGCACUAGGAGCCGAUGAAGGACGGGACUAACACCGAUAUGCUUCGGGAGCUGUAAGUGAGCUUUGAUCCGGAGAUUUCCGAAUGGGGAAACCCACUGUUCGUAAUGGAACAGUAUCUUUAUCUGAAUACAUAGGAUAUUGAAGGCAGACCCGGGGAACUGAAACAUCUAAGUACCCGGAGGAAGAGAAAGCAAAUGCGAUUUCCUGAGUAGCGGCGAGCGAAACGGAAUUAGCCCAAACCAAGAGGCUUGCCUCUUGGGGUUGUAGGACACUCUAUACGGAGUUACAAAGGAACGAAGUAAAUGAAGCGACCUGGAAAGGUCCGUCAAAGAAGGUAACAACCCUGUAGUUGAAACUUCGUUCCCUCUUGAGUGGAUCCUGAGUACGGCGGAACACGUGAAAUUCCGUCGGAAGCUGGGAGGACCAUCUCCCAAGGCUAAAUACUACCUAGUGACCGAUAGUGAACCAGUACCGUGAGGGAAAGGUGAAAAGCACCCCGGAAGGGGAGUGAAAGAGAUCCUGAAACCGUGUGCCUACAAGUAGUCAGAGCCCGUUAAUGGGUGAUGGCGUGCCUUUUGUAGAAUGAACCGGCGAGUUACGAUCCCAUGCAAGGUUAAGCUGAUAAGGCGGAGCCGUAGCGAAAGCGAGUCUGAAUAGGGCGUUUAGUAUGUGGUUGUAGACCCGAAACCAGGUGAUCUACCCAUGUCCAGGGUGAAGUUCAGGUAACACUGAAUGGAGGCCCGAACCCACGCACGUUGAAAAGUGCGGGGAUGAGGUGUGGGUAGCGGAGAAAUUCCAAUCGAACCUGGAGAUAGCUGGUUCUCUCCGAAAUAGCUUUAGGGCUAGCCUCAUGUUGUGAGAGUCUUGGAGGUAGAGCACUGAUUGGACUAGGGGCCCCCAACGGGUUACCGAAUUCAGUCAAACUCCGAAUGCCAAAGACUUAUCCAUGGGAGUCAGACUGCGAGUGAUAAGAUCCGUAGUCAAAAGGGAAACAGCCCAGACCACCAGCUAAGGUCCCCAAGUAUACGUUAAGUGGAAAAGGAUGUGGAGUUGCUUAGACAACCAGGAUGUUGGCUUAGAAGCAGCCACCAUUUAAAGAGUGCGUAAUAGCUCACUGGUCGAGUGACUCUGCGCCGAAAAUGUACCGGGGCUAAACGUAUCACCGAAGCUGUGGAUUGACAUCUUUGAUGUCAGUGGUAGGAGAGCGUUCUAAGUGCAGCGAAGUCAGACCGUAAGGACUGGUGGAGCGCUUAGAAGUGAGAAUGCCGGUAUGAGUAGCGAAAGACAAGUGAGAAUCUUGUCCACCGAAUGCCUAAGGUUUCCUGAGGAAGGCUCGUCCGCUCAGGGUUAGUCGGGACCUAAGCCGAGGCUGAAAAGCGUAGGCGAUGGCCAACAGGUUGAUAUUCCUGUACCACCUCCCCGCCGUUUGAGUAAUGGGGGGACGCAGUAGGAUAGGGUAAGCGCGCUGCUGGAUAUGCGCGUUCAAGCAGUUAGGCUGAUGAGUAGGCAAAUCCGCUCAUCAUAAAGGCUGAGCUGUGAUGACGAGGGAAUUAUAGUACCGAAGUUCCUGAUUCCACACUGCCAAGAAAAGCCUCUAGCGAGGCGGGAGGUGCCCGUACCGCAAACCGACACAGGUAGGCGAGGAGAGAAUCCUAAGGUGAUCGAGAGAACUCUCGUUAAGGAACUCGGCAAAAUGACCCCGUAACUUCGGGAGAAGGGGUGCUCUGGUAGGGUGUAUAGCCCGAGAGAGCCGCAGUGAAUAGGCCCAGGCGACUGUUUAGCAAAAACACAGGUCUCUGCGAAGCCGCAAGGCGAAGUAUAGGGGCUGACGCCUGCCCGGUGCUGGAAGGUUAAGAGGAGGGGUUAUCCUUUGGGAGAAGCUCUGAAUCGAAGCCCCAGUAAACGGCGGCCGUAACUAUAACGGUCCUAAGGUAGCGAAAUUCCUUGUCGGGUAAGUUCCGACCCGCACGAAAGGCGUAACGAUCUGGGCACUGUCUCAACGAGAGACUCGGUGAAAUUAUAGUACCUGUGAAGAUGCAGGUUACCCGCGACAGGACGGAAAGACCCCGUGGAGCUUUACUGUAGCCUGAUAUUGAAUUUUGGUACAGCUUGUACAGGAUAGGUAGGAGCCUGAGAAGCCGGAGCGCUAGCUUCGGUGGAGGCGUCGGUGGGAUACUACCCUGGCUGUAUUGAAAUUCUAACCCGCGGCCCUGAUCGGGCCGGGAGACAGUGUCAGGUGGGCAGUUUGACUGGGGCGGUCGCCUCCUAAAAUGUAACGGAGGCGCCCAAAGGUUCCCUCAGAAUGGUUGGAAAUCAUUCGUAGAGUGUAAAGGCACAAGGGAGCUUGACUGCGAGACCUACAAGUCGAGCAGGGACGAAAGUCGGGCUUAGUGAUCCGGUGGUUCCGCAUGGAAGGGCCAUCGCUCAACGGAUAAAAGCUACCCCGGGGAUAACAGGCUUAUCUCCCCCAAGAGUCCACAUCGACGGGGAGGUUUGGCACCUCGAUGUCGGCUCAUCGCAUCCUGGGGCUGUAGUCGGUCCCAAGGGUUGGGCUGUUCGCCCAUUAAAGCGGUACGCGAGCUGGGUUCAGAACGUCGUGAGACAGUUCGGUCCCUAUCCGUCGUGGGCGUAGGAAAUUUGAGAGGAGCUGUCCUUAGUACGAGAGGACCGGGAUGGACACACCGCUGGUGUACCAGUUGUCUUGCCAAAGGCAUCGCUGGGUAGCUAUGUGUGGACGGGAUAAGUGCUGAAAGCAUCUAAGCAUGAAGCCCCCCUCAAGAUGAGAUUUCCCAUAGCGCAAGCUAGUAAGAUCCCUGAAAGAUGAUCAGGUUGAUAGGUCAGAGGUGGAAGCGUGGCGACAUGUGUAGCUGACUGAUACUAAUCGAUCGAGGACUUAACC
rnacentral:rRNA from 2 species